rnacentral:lncRNA from 1 species
AAAAGUCAUCUGAGUUGUCCUUCGGAAAUUGUCACCGUCUUGUUGAAGCUCGGAGACGCUUUUGGUAGCUUUUUAUUUGUUUUUUUUUCACACUGUUGUUGUUAACUACUUCUUUUUAUUCCUUCCAUGAUUGUAAUUGUGUAAAUCAUACAAAAUCAUAAUGAAAAGGAGUUAGGGUUACUCGAUCAGUUUGAUUUCUUGCAUUUUUGUUGAAAUUUCUUCUGGAUUUGGGUUCGGUUUGUGAUUU